rnacentral:tRNA from 2 species
GCCGACGUAGCUCAGUGGUAGAGCAACUGAUUCGUAAUCAGUAGGUCCUCAGUUCAAUCCUGAGCGUCGGCACCA